rnacentral:rRNA from 1 species
UAAUACAGAGGGUGCGAGCGUUAAUCGGAAUUACUGGGCGUAAAGCGCACGUAGGCGGCUUGGUAUGUCGGGUGUGAAAUCCCCGGGCUCAACCUGGGAACUGCAUCCGAAACUGCCUUGCUCGAGUAUGGGAGAGGGAAGUGGAAUUUCCGGUGUAGCGGUGAAAUGCGUAGAUAUCGGAAGGAACAUCAGUGGCGAAGGCGACUUCCUGGACCAAUACUGACGCUCAGGUGCGAAAGCGUGGGGAGCAAACAGGAUUAGAUACCCUGGUAGUCCACGCCGUAAACGAUGGGUACUAGGUGCCUGGGGGAGCGACCCUCUGGGUGCCGGCGCUAACGCAGGAAGUACCCCGCCUGGGGAGUACGACCGCAAGGUUG